CACACCUGCUCCUGCUUAACCCUGUGCGUGCUGGGGCUGGGCGCGCUGCGGAGGGUUAAAGCCUCUGGAAGAGGCCGGGCUAGAACCAGGGAAGAAAAGCCGAAAAAUGUGUUCUUCGAGUCUGGGAGGUAGUCAAACUGGGUCUCCAUUCCUGCGAGGACCUGGGUAAUUGAAGAGAGCUAUUCAGGAGCAAACUGAGGCUCAGAGAGGACAAGGGACUUGCCCCAGAUCACACAGCAAGUUCGUGCUAGAGCCUGGGCCAGCACAUAGACUGCCUAUCCAAGGAGAACCCUUGUAGGACUUUGGUGAGGAAGAAGCCCGUGCUGGUGCCCAGAACAGAAAGCCCCAGGGCCUGGCUCUGGGUUCCUGGACUGUGGGCACAAUCUCUGAGGGAAGACUCCCUCCCUUCCCAAACAUACACACUUCCUGCCCCUCAGGAGCUGGGAGCUGACCUUAGAGGAGGAGGGG